UAUAACUUUUUGUGUGAAAAUUUGUUUUCUGAAAAUAUUGCAAUUUGUGAAAGUAUAUUUGUUGCUUUUGAAAAUGUGUGCGUUUUAAACCAACCUGUGUGGUCGAGACGAUUAAAUUUGGGUCGGUGAACGCGAAAUUCGUUUCAAGUUGUGGCUUCAAGGAGCCGUGAAAGUAGCCAAGACAUUACACAUCGCAAUGAAAAUAUUCGUCUACGCACAGCAAGUUGCCGUUAAAAUCAACGGAACAAUGAUGCAACAACAACUGCAAAUGAACGUCGUGAUAUUCAAAAUCUACAAGGUGUUGCCUUCGCUUACAGUAGUGUCACCGAUUACGCUUCUCAUAGGCAAAUUAUAAUUGGUCCAAUGAACGAUCGUUGUCGCCAUUGUCAGGCAUUCAAAUUUAAAGGUGAAGCAGAUGGGAUGUGCUGUGCGAGUGGUAAAGUGAAAUUGCCUGAAUUAGGCAGCCCACCACAACCAUUGAGCACAUUACUUAAUGGAUUGACACCUGAGUCUAAUCAUUUUUUGAACAAUAUACGAAAGUAUAAUUCGAGUUUUCAAAUGACAUCUUUUGGCGCCACAAAUAUUAUAAGAGACAACUUCAUGCCAACGUUCAAGAUUCAAGGUCAAAUAUACCAUCGAGCUGGCUCUUUGUUACCUUUCGACAACGCAGAGCGGACCACCAAUUUUUGCAAUUAUAUUUUAUCGGGAACGCGGAAGACGAAGCUGAUCGUCGGUGUGCCAUUAUUACCAACACGCGGAGACAAAUUAUUUUCGAUUUGCAAAAUAUGUUCCAUGAGCACAACGAA